CUUGCCAGCUGCAGAACGCAGUUUAUGAAAAAUGCUCUAAUGCUCUUUGGCACCACAAGUAUAACCCCAUUUCUGGUGUUUCCAGUUAGUCUUUACACAGUCUUUUCCUUAGAUAAGAAGUUAAUUCUUGCUUCUGUAAAAGAUCAGCCUGAGAAACACUGAGCAAGAUCUUCAGCUUCAGGAAGGGGCAGGCAUGUAGGGCUGAAAACACCCAGUGUUAGGCAAGCUGCUGCCUUCUGCCUUUAUCUGUGAGCACAGGCAUUUUGAAAGUGCGUAUCUGCCCUAACACGUCCUUCAAAGGAGAGCGGUAUCUCACCGCACCAAAAGCUGAGUGACGGAGGCUGCUACCCCUCAGAGAUAUCUAUCGCUCCCCUCCUGUGGCGAGACACAUGUGGACUGGCGAUCAGCAUCCUUAACGCGAGCUCGCAUGAAGCUCGAGACGUGGCCGGGUGCUCAGCCACACAAGCGACGCAGGGUGUACCCCAGCUUUGAAAGUAGAUUACUGCGUACAGCUACACGCUUGUUUACUUGACUGAGAUCCAUAUUUAGAUGUGUGUACAAGUGCACAACCCCGAGCUGUUUAUUCAGACAAAAAUCCCACUGAAUGCAGCAGGUAUGUGCCUGCCUGUGCAGCUGAGGAUUAAACCCUUAAAUCUUCUGGAGUGCCCGUCUGCACAUUUCUAAAUAAUCAAAGAAAAAAGAAAAGCAGGAAGAACAUGCCCGCGUGACUGUGGACCUCUCCAACACUCGGCUACAUUUGGAUUCAGAGAGCACGUGUGCCUCUCUAACGUUGCCGAUAGAUGGGCUGAGCCUUGCAGAUAGCAUUUGACUGGGAGAUCAUACAAGAUCUGAGAAGUGUAACACACAAAUCAGUACAGUCUAUGAAAAUUAGAGCAACGGCAGUGCAUAUUUCAAAAGCGCAGUCAAUCCGAAGUCGUGCCUCGCACUUAUCUCGUCACGAGGUUGCAGCAGUCAACUUUAUUGCCUUCAGACAUGUCAGCAUCGCCGUACGGCCCCGCCGCCGGCGGCUUCCCCGUGGAAGGGCGCUUCCAUCAGCGUCACCGCCGGGACACCUCCUGCCACUGACAUGGCCCACCCGCACGUUUGCAGGACUGGCCUUUUUAAAAGUCAACCGUAUAAACUGGGCAGUGACCAGAUCAAGCUGCAGUUAUACAAGAAGCAAGGAAAUAUUAUGCAAGACCACAGGAAGUCAGAGGAGACAGCAUUCUGGGCAGGCCUGGCAAGGAGUCUGUGUGAACUUCAGCUAACAAGCAAAGCUCGGUCAUUGGCGCCAAAUUCAGCAGAGAACAUUCCCAGUGCUGCAAAGGAUAACACUCCCCAUGUUUUUGCCAGUGGGCUAUGUUCCAGGACGCCAUGUACCUGAUGAAAUGCAGAUAAACCCGGGUCUUAUUUUUCGCCAAGUCUUCACUUAUUUUUAAAAUUUGGAGCAUAUUUUUGUCCAACAUUUGUUAGAAGUGGCAAAUGGUUUGUUUGCGUGGCUUUGCUAAUAGACCGCUUGUUCUUACGGUCCCUGUAAUUUCAACUACAAUAAUUGACCUACAAAGAAAACGCUUGGCAGAAGCCUCAUUUUUUCCAUGCACCUUGCCCAUCUCUACCUCCAGGCACUCUGCUAAUAGGAGAUGCGAGGGUUAUGGAUUCCUUUUCCCUUGGCAUUUUGGAAUGACCACUGCAAGCAGACUUGGCGCAAAAAGAUGACACCCACCUCUCACACAACUAUACUAUUUUAAUCCACUUCCAUGCAGAAAGUAAUUGGGGUUUUUUGCAUUUUCAAGAACUACCUCAUCCAGGUCCUACUUCGAGAAGACAUCCAUUAAAAUGCAGUAAACUUUGUUUCCAAAAUGGCUGAAAAAAUUGGCCUUAAUCUGGCAAACAUUCAUCAUCUAGCAAUACAUGAGUUCAGAGAAGUUUAAUGCUUUGUUCUAGGAUUCAUCUUUAAAACAUCAAUGAUAAAAGGUUGGAGGCAGGAAUGCAUUUCGAGGUUCGCACACACACACACGCUGCCAAACAAGAAGCGCAGCAUGCAAAGUCUUACACAACACAAAACAAUUACCAAUUGUGAUGAGUGUAGACAAAGCAUUCUCAAGAGAAUCUAUUUUAUGUUUGUAAUCGCCCUCAAAAAACACACAAUAGCACUCUCCUUCCAGCAAAUACAUAAUACAAACAAAAACCAAACAGUAGGACUGCCUCGAUGGGGGAAAGUGAUUCUGAGAAGUUUAAUAGCUCACCAGUAGAUACCUAUUGCCGAUGCCAAUGAACCGAUUUAAAAAGUUUUCAUCAUUACCAUGGCUUGUGGGAACGACAAACAUACACUGUUAACAAGAGAUUCCCGUCUUUCCUGUGGCUCACACCUGAAAAAGUUCCCAUAACCAGCCAUUUUUGCAAAAAUAAUUAAACGAGCAUGGCAGCAACACAGGAAAGUGAAACUGUUAGUGGUGACAAUGCCUCCAUUGUUACUGCUGGUUAACAAUGCCCAAAAUUAAUCAUGAACCUGAGAACCAACACCAAAUGCACACACAGUUGGACCUCUCCAACCAAAAUAGACCUUUCUACAGCUGGGUCCAGAGUUAUAGCUGUUUGGAAGUGCAGUUGUUUCUCUGGUUGAAGACAGCAAUUCCUGUCUGGCAGAAAGAAGUCCAGCUGCACUUUUCGGGGCCUGAGUCAAGCACACACUGGUGGUUUUAACGUGGCCAGUCUAAAACAUCUCACAGUAUCAAGUGUUGGUAUUAAUUGCAGUUGCACAGCAGUUUCUUCAUCCAAACCCAGUAAGGUCUAAGCACACUGAAACACUCACAAAUGCCCAGAGUAAGGAAAAACAUUUCAUCUGUAUCUCUUUCUACCAAAUAGCAAGGCAAAUAUCUCGUGGUAAGUUUUUAAAAUGCCACAAGGGUUAACUGGUGAACCAUGCUACAAGAGCAACAAGUUGUUGUGCUAAUAAGGGCACUAGCGAAAUCAGGUUUCUCCAGGCUCUGCAGACUGCUGUUGGACCCCGGUCCCUGUGGCACAGGGAGCUGCAAGCGGGGAGCUGCCUGGAGUUGCUGCCCUGAGGGGGCACCUGUGACUUCUUCAGCCAUAGGAAGUCGCUGGUCUCUACAAGGGAACGCGCUUGUGCUGCAGCUUUUCCCUGAAGCGAUUACAACACUGUUUCUGAACGCCUAUUCCCAGGAAUUUAAUAUCUUUCAGAUCUUUACAGCUCUGUCAGAAAUGGAGACAGACACACACUGUAACAGUGUAAGCCUUGAUUCUUUAAGAAAACAAGCUAGUUGUUCUAAUCACUGUGUCAUCUUCUAUUAAAAGUAAAUUUUUCAUUUCUUUUGAUGACUGCAUUUCCCAGUAGCUCACCCAGCCAAAAUCCUUCUUCAAGCUUCCCGUAUGCAAUUCAUAUUCAGCUACAACAAACUAUAAUAUACCUACCACCACAAGCAAUGAAGCAUUUACUUUCUCUGGGGUUGAGGGGGGAGAUGUUUUGAUUCUCAAUAGCUAGUACAUCUCUAACUUGAGGCCUUCUCUUCAUUUUCCUUCAGUACAGUAAUUUCAUAUUCCACAGCUUCACUGUAUGUCCUACAACAACUCCUGGUAUGUGAGCAAACUAAAUACUUUCAAAACAGAGUGUGCUGAAAUAGAUUUUCCCACCAAAUAUUUUCUUCUUACAACUUUGUAAAUCAGAACUGACUUCCUACACAAACAACAGUAUAAGAACAGCCACUUGCUCUGCUUUCCUCAUACCUUACUAGGUGCUUGACCAUUUCAUUUCCUUGAUCCACCAGCUAACAGAAGUAGAACCCAAGUGGAACCAUCAUGAAAUUCCCUUUUAAGAAGGAUAAAGCUUCACACUACACACCGUUUAUAUCAUAUUUUCCUCAAAGGUAUUUUCACGAAGCAGUAGGCAGAGGUCACAGGCAGGAACUGAACCCCAUUUUGAUAAAACUUCUAGACAUAUCAGACUUCAGAUAUUUUGGAGCUGGAGUUAUUUUGGUACAAAAGCCAGACCAUUAAAUCUGUUGAGUAAGGUACAAAUAGAAACUAAGAAACUCAACCAACAGGAAUACACAGCUCAAUGCACAAAAGACUUGGUAGGUUCAUUCCAUGGCUGUAACCUACUCAAAAUGCAAUACGACAGGAAAUAAUUUUAUGCUUGCACUGUAUUCAUCGCAUCAACUCCCUCCAAAAGAACACUCUACAAUGACUUCAGGUUGGGAUGAUUUGUUCUUAAAGCUUUUAACAGGUCAGGCUGCAGACACCCUUCCUCUUUCAGCUCUGACUUUAGGUGGACCUCUGCUCCACAUUAGCCAUCACUGCACCUGAAAUCUUUACUGUAACCUGCAGCGCAGACUUUGCUCCCUGCUUAUUUUAUUCCCCGGGUUGGAAGAGCACUGAAAAGUCACUACUUUUAGAAUAAGCAUC